UAUAGAGCUUAAAUACUCAAGUGGGCAAGUACAGUAAGUAAUGUCUUAACUAGUUGUGUAUUUUUGUUGGGGCGACAAGGAGAUAAAAAUAACACUCUUUUUUAAAAAAUAUUUAUAAAUAAAAUAACGAUCCUUAAAUUAAGAUAAAAGACUAAGUUACCUUA
rnacentral:rRNA from 1 species